ensembl:misc_RNA Y_RNA Y RNA
AGCUGGUCCAAGUGCAGUGGUGUUUGCAACUAAUUGAUCACAACCAGUUACAGAUUUCUUUGUUCCUUCUCUACUCCCACUGCUCCACUUGACUAGCCUUAU